UGCAGUCGAGCGAGGCCAGUUUGUAGCAAUACGAGCUGAGUCGAGCGGCGCAAGGGGCAGUAAUGCAUGGGUAACGUACCUCCGGGUCGCGGAUAGCCAUGGGAAACUAUGGGUAAUACGCGAUAAAGCUGAGAAGCCAAAGGCUUGCCGCCCGGAGAGCGGCUCAUGUCGUAUUAGCUAGUUGGUGGGGUAACGGCCCACCAAGGCGAAGAUGCGUAGCGGGUGUGAGAGCACGACCCGCGCCACUGGCACUGAGACACUGGCCAGACACCUACGGGUGGCUGCAGUCGAGGAUCUUCGGCAAUGAGCGCAAGCUUGACCGAGCGACGCCGCGUGGAGGAUGAAGGCCUUCGGGUUGUAAACUCCUUUUGUGGGGGAGGAAAUUUCUGACCUAUCCCAUGAAUAAGCACGGGCUAAGUUCGUGCCAGCAGCCGCGGUAAGACGAACCAUGCGAACGUUGUUCGGAAUCACUGGGCUUAAAGGGCGCGUAGGUGGCUAGCCAAGUCGGGGGUGAAAUCUUUCGGCUCAACCGGAAAAUUGCCCCCGAUACUGGAAGGCUCGGGGGAGAUAGAGGCGACGGGAACUACCAGUGGAGCGGUGAAAUGCGUUGAUAUUGGUAGGAACGCCAGAGCCGAAGGGGCGUCGCUGGAUCUCUUCUGACACUGAGGCGCGAAAGCCAGGGGAGCAAACGGGAUUAGAUACCCCGGUAGUCCUGGCCCUAAACGAUGAGAACUAGAUGGUGGACCGGACACGGGCUCACCGUCGAAGCAAAAGUGCUAAGUUCUCCGCCUGGGGAGUAUGGUCGCAAGGCUGAACUCAAGGAAUUGACGGGGGCUCACACAAGCGGUGGAGCAUGUGGCUCAAUUCGAGGCUACGCGAAGACCUUAUCCUGGACUUGACAUGUGCGCAAGCGUUGGGGACGUAGCUGGCUAAUGAACCAGCGAC
rnacentral:rRNA from 1 species